CACUCAGAAUCUAUGACUGAUUUGGGUUGUUCUUUGUUGUGUUUAUUCAGAGGACGUCCUGGCGAAGGAUGCAGGAGAAUGUGCAAUAUGUCUGGAGGAGCUGGUGCAGGGAGACACCAUCGCACGCCUGCCCUGCCUCUGCAUCUAUCACAAAGGCUGUAUUGACGAGUGGUUUGAAGUGAACCGAUCGUGUCCUGAACAUCCCUCAGAUUAGCAGCGCCUCUCUCACCUUUGCACAGCCUCCUGGUCGUGAGAAGCGCCGCAAUAUGAAUUCUCCUCCUCCUCAUAGACACUGUGACUUUGGUCUCUUCUCGUAGCAAGGCCCUACAUAGUCGCCAUAUAAACCCUAGUGUGCCAAAACUCAUUCAGGGAAACUCUUUCCUCAUCACAGUCCAUCGGAAGCCCCAGCGGCGGUCGAGACCCUGGAGAUUCUCUCCUCCUUCGCACAAUUGUCCAAUCAGGAUCUAGCAGGAGUUCAUUUCAUUGGCUGUCUCUGAUUGGCCGGACUCAGGGUCAGCUGACUGUGGAUAAUUAUCGGACGGUAGUCGAUAGUUCUCUGUUAAAUGGGACUAUGUCUCUCAGUGCCUUAAUUUUCAGAUUCCAGGAGCCGAAGCGAAGGCUGCAUUUGGGAUGUUCUUCAGAGGAAGGGCUCAGUGGACUCGGAGAAAUACGCCUGGAUGUGACGGGACGUGAGCCCUGAUUCGGGACGGCCCUGAACCAUACUGAGCCAUUAUUUCUCUCUCUCUCUCUCUCUCGCUUCAUGGAUGGUGAAAUAUCCCGUGGAUCUCGAGUCUCGGAUGAAGAUUCAUAUGACGUCUGCACCGUCUCAAGAUCAGUUUUGCAUCGUUUUAUUUGUGUUGAGACAAAUCUAGGCCUUAAUUCAACACACCACUGACUUCUGUCUCUCUAUGUAGGGUGAAUCACAUCAAAACAUGUCAAAAUCAGAAGAAAAAAAUACAAAAUUAUAUUUUGCAUGAAGAAAAUGAAGAUUACUAUAAUGCAAUUAUUUUAUUAAAAUCUGAAUUAUUUUAAUGGCAGUGCUACAAAUACUACCAUGAUGUGC